rnacentral:tRNA from 1 species
UGCAAUAUAGUGUAAAUGGUUAUCACGUUAGACUCAUGAUCUUGAGAUAUGCGUUCGAAUCGCAUUGUUGCUA